CUUGGGCCUAGAGUUUUACCCACAUUGGGGUUUCUCCGUCAUCAAAUAAUUGUGUACUUUACGAUUCUUGCAAUUUGCAUGUUUUCGAAAUUUCAACAUAGGAUAGUAAAACAUAUGAAUUGAUCUGGACAAAUUAAUAUUUGUAACUUGUAGCAUUUAUUAAUUCAUUGGUAAAAAUUCUGCAUAAACACCUAUUUACCCCCCUCUAAGUGUUGAUUGGGUCAAACUACAUUAUUUCAAGUGUUAUCAGAGCCUAACCUCGAAACCUGACCCAUUGUUAUCUAGAUGAGUCAAUCACUGUCUAUGCCUCCGUAUUUUGACGGAAGCAAUUAUGCAUAUCGGAAGGUUAGGAUGCACCUAUUUCUUAAGUCCCUAGAUGAAUGUGUUUGGAUGAGUGUGUAAAAUGGUUGGAAACCUCCUUCCACAACUGUGUCAGGUGUUGUCAAUCUAACUGAUAUUUCACUUUGGACUAAAGAGGAAUUAGCUGAUUGCAAUUGGAAUAGUAAAGGUCUUCAUGCUUUGUUUAUGGCUGUCUCUCGAAGAGUUUAAGAGAGUAUCAAUGUGCGAAACUGUUAAAGAGGUAUGGGACAUUCUAGAGACGACUCAUGUGGGAACUAAAACCAUAAAAAAUUCAAAAUUGCAAAUGCUAGCAUUUAUGUUUGAAGAAAUCUGAAUGAAGGAUGAUGAAUCGUUUGUUGAAUUUUAUGGAAAAUUGAAUGACAUUGUAAACUCUAGUUUCAACCUAGGUGAGAGGAUUCUCGAGUCAAAAAUUGUGAGAAAAGUGUUUAGGUUUUUGCCUGAGAGAUUUAGACCUAAAGUUACAACUAUCGAAGAAAGCAAGGAUCUAGAUACGGUUAAGAUAGAAAAACUCGUACAAUCCCUUCAAACCUAUGAACUCACCAUCUCACAACCUAAGAUAAAUAAGUUCAUAGUGUUGAACACAGUUAAAAAAGAAGAGUCUGAGUCAUCUGACAUAGAAACCAAUAGAGAUGAGGAGAUAUCUUACUUUGCCAAGAAGUUCUAGAAAGAGUUAAAGUGGUUACUUGCAAUAUAGAGUGUAACUACCAUCAAGACUAUUGAAAAGAUCCAAGUACGAAGAGGGGACACAAUGAAAAUAAAAACACACCAAAGUAUGUUCAAUCAAUGGGAAUACAAUUAUAAAUACUACUUCUGCUCUAUUUAGCUUU
rnacentral:lncRNA from 1 species